rnacentral:rRNA from 1 species
AGUGAACGCUGGCGGUAGGCCUAACACAUGCAAGUCGAACGGCAGCACAGUAAGAGCUUGCUCUUACGGGUGGCGAGUGGCGGACGGGUGAGGAAUACAUCGGAAUCUACUUUUUCGUGGGGGAUAACGUAGGGAAACUUACGCUAAUACCGCAUACGACCUACGGGUGAAAGCAGGGGAUCUUCGGACCUUGCGCGAUUGAAUGGGCCGAUGUCGGAUUAGCUAGUUGGCGGGGUAAAGGCCCACCAAGGCGACGAUCCGUAGCUGGUCUGAGAGGAUGAUCAGCCACACUGGAACUGAGACACGGUCCAGACUCCUACGGGAGGCAGCAGUGGGGAAUAUUGGUCAAUGGGCGCAAGCCUGAUCCAGCCAUACCGCGUGGGUGAAGAAGGCCUUCGGGUUGUAAAGCCCUUUUGUUGGGAAAGAAAAGCAGCAGGUUAAUACCCCGCUGUUCUGACGGUACCCAAAGAAUAAGCACCGGCUAACUUCGUG